GUUGGAGGUUCUUCCUUUGUGGAGUUUUCUCUGUGAGCCUAGGUCUUUGGAGAUGGAAAAGGACUUCAGCAAGAGACUGAAACAUGGGGUCAAGGCCUUUACAGGAUCAAGCCAUCAUACAGAGGAAAACAUUCAGUAACUUCCAUUCAGCUAAAGUUCUGGAAAGUUUCAGAGGAGACUGUGAAUGCCACAGAUGAAUGAAAGCCUCUCAACGUGAUGGUGGAAAAUAUAUUAGAAGAAGACAUCAGCUACAAGCAGUCAAAGCUAUCGGCGGUGGCAUCAUUAGGACUGCUUCAAAAAUACAGAAAGUAUAAACCGCC